GGGGAGAUUGCACAACACUUAAAGCGAAGCGGACUGGGGGAGGGGAACGCCUCAGGCCGCCAUGUGCUCGCUCCCUCGACCACCCGGCGGCGUCCCCCCAACUCCGGGAAACAAUCCACAUCCCACCCGCUCCCGUCGCGAAAUGGCGUCGCCCUCCCAUACCUCAGGCCGCUCACCCCCGAAGGAAAGUGGACCUGCCCAUCCGCAGUUUGCCAAUUGCCCGGCUUGUGCGGCAAAAUGGGCCCGCCCGCCCGGCGCCGGGUGGGAUCCCGGUGCCUCACGCGGCCGCUCCUCGGGGUUAGGCUGGGUCCUGGCCGUCAAGAAAACCAGCACACUGAACGGCCGGUUUCUUUCCCCCCGACCCGUAGCUCCACGCGACCAAGCGACUGGAUUUUAGGACCCAGGCACCCCCGCCUUCGGCGAGUGGUACCGUCAGAAUCCUCCGGAUCCCGAGCGCGCGAGCCUUCCCUCUCUCAAUGAGGCAACCGGACAGGCGGCUCCGGGCAACGCACGGCCGAGACCACCUCUAUCUUUUUUCUCCAGGGCAGGUCACGACCUCGCCGCCCUACUCAGCGCCAGGGCUUCGCGCACCGCGUCGGUCGGGGCCACCUAACGACCCUCGCACUCUGGGCCCCGAAAGCCGGACUGUCCUCAGCCUCUACCUAGGCCCUGGCAGCAGCGUUGGCCGUGGACCCGCCCCUCACUCCCCGAGGACUGGUCCUCCCGGCUUGGUCUCCCCGCAGCCCUAGAGGACCUAGGGCAGCGGGCCUCAGCUACCCCCGUCGGGGCCCUCGGAAAGGGCGGCAGAGUUUGGGGAGGUGUUGUGUGUCCUUCUGAGAAACUACUAAAGCCCAACUCCCCAGUAAGACGCACAUGAAUACUCAGGCAGGUUUUGCACAGAAAGGAGAAUUCAGGGAGACAGGACCAGCACCAGGGCGUACGAUUCAUCCAAGGCUCCUCGGCGACCGGUCCCAGCACAGACAGGUUUAGAGUGGCCUGCCACGCCAGGGCAAUGGAGAGCAGGAAAGGCAACGCUGAGACCCGAGGAGUAAUAAUGUGGAUCCGAGGGGACCGUCAUUGCCAGGCACCCUCUGCAGACGGGCACAUAAUAGUUGCACCGCUGGAGUUAGUGAUGGAAACUGGAGCACAGUUGAUGGAGAGAGGGAAAUGAGUAUGAGGCUUCUUGUGGGGUGAAGAGGUAGAGGGUACCUGGAGAGAGGUUUGGCAUAGGGAACCAGGAGUUUUCCUGAGUGGAGGGAGGCUUCCUGGACUUCUGCUAACACACAGGAUGAUUGUCUCAAACUGCCGCUAGAUGGUGGUGCUGUUCUGGAAGCAUUCCAGUGGGACCCAGCUAGUCUAGACAAUGCCUGGCAUCACCACCCCCCAGCUCCCUCAAGAAUUUGGGGCUGGAUGGAGAAUAAAAGCAAGGUUUUAAAAAUCUC